rnacentral:rRNA from 1 species
UACGGGGGGUGCGAGCGUUGUCCGGAAUCACUGGGCGUAAAGGGCGCGUAGGUGGCCUGAUAAGGGUGUGGUGAAAGUCCGGGGCUCAACCCCGGAUCUGCCGUGCCGACUGUUGGGCUGGAGUACUGUAGGGGCAGGCGGAAUUCCGGGUGUAGCGGUGGAAUGCGUAGAGAUCCGGAGGAAGACCGGUGGCGAAGGCGGGUCUCUGGGCCGUAACUGACGCUGAGGAGCGAAAGCGUGGGGAGCGAACAGG